UACGAAGGGGGCUAGCGUUGUUCGGAUUUACUGGGCGUAAAGCGCACGUAGGCGGCUCGUUAAGUCGGGGGUGAAAUCCUGGAGCUCAACUCCAGAACUGCCUUUGAUACUGGCGAUCUUGAGUCCGGAAGAGGUGAGUGGAACUCCUAGUGUAGAGGUGGAAUUCGUAGAUAUUAGGAAGAACACCAGUGGCGAAGGCGGCUCACUGGUCCGGUACUGACGCUGAGGUGCGAAAGCGUGGGGAGCAAACAGG
rnacentral:rRNA from 1 species